rnacentral:lncRNA from 1 species
AAAUCUAAACAAAGGUUCAUAGUCAUCCUAAGGCCCUAAGGCAACUAUAUAGUCCAUCAAAUGAAUGCAAAAAGUUUAUGUUAGUAGUAUCAUAUACUCUUGCUUUAAAAACCGUUUUAUAAGCAUAGUGGGAGUAUUAUAUACAACUAAAAUUCAAUCAAAUGGACCAAUAGUUGUAAUAGGACCAAAAUUGUUUUAAUAAAGAUUAAAAUGAAUAUUUAUUUGUGAUGAGACCUAAAAACCCUCAACCAAACCAUUAUUAAGUUGAUAAGCGUGAGAGUGCUUUGAACACUCUU